rnacentral:rRNA from 1 species
GGCUCUUGGCGGUGGAUCACUCGGCUCGUGAGUCGAUGAAGGACGCAGCUAGCUGCGUGAUUUAGUGUGAAUUGCUAAUUUUUUCAAAGUAAACGUUCCGGCCGCCGCCGACACUCAGUCAAGAGCAC